ACGUACACUCCUGCGGGAGGCAGCAGUGGGGAAUAUUGCACAAUGGGCGCAAGCCUGAUGCAGCCAUGCCGCGUGUAUGAAGAAGGCCUUCGGGUUGUAAAGUACUUUCAGCGGGGAGGAAGGCGAUAAGGUUAAUAACCUUGUCGAUUGACGGUACCCGCAGAAGAAGCACCGGCUAACUCCGUGCCAGCAGCCGCGGUAAUACGGAGGGUGCAAGCGUUAAUCGGAAUUACUGGGCGUAAAGCGCACGCAGGCGGUCUGUCAAGUCGGAUGUGAAAUCCCCGGGCUCAACCUGGGGACUGCAUUCGAAACUGGCAGGCUAGAGUCUUGUAGAGGGGGGUAGAAUUCCAGGUGUAGCGGUGAAAUGCGUAGAGAUCUGGAGGAAUACCGGUGGCGAAGGCGGCCCCCUGGACAAAGACUGACGGUCAGGUGCGAAAGCGUGGGGAGCAAACAGGAUUAGAAACCCGGGUAGGCCCAUG
rnacentral:rRNA from 1 species